rnacentral:tRNA from 1 species
CCUGAUGGCUCAGUGGUAAAGAAUCUGCCUGCAAAGCAGGAGAUGCCAGUUCAAUCCAUGGCUCAGG